rnacentral:rRNA from 1 species
UACGUAGGGUGCAAGCGUUGUCCGGAAUUAUUGGGCGUAAAGAGCUCGUAGGCGGUUUGUUGCGUCGGCUGUGAAAUCCCGAGGCUCAACCUCGGGUCUGCAGUCGAUACGAGCAAACUAGAGUGUUGCAGGGGAGACUGGAAUUCCUGGUGUAGCGGUGAAAUGCGCAGAUAUCAGGAGGAACACCGGUGGCGAAGGCGGGUCUCUGGGCAACAACUGACGCUGAGAAGCGAAAGCGUGGGGAGCAAACAGG